GACCUGAUGCAGCCAUGCCGCGUGUGUGAAGAAGGCCUUCGGGUUGUAAAGCACUUUCAGUUGUGAGGAAAAGUUAGUAGUUAAUACCUGCUAGCCGUGACGUUAACAACAGAAGAAGCACCGGCUAACUCCGUGCCAGCAGCCGCGGUAAUACGGAGGGUGCGAGCGUUAAUCGGAAUUACUGGGCGUAAAGCGCACGCAGGCGGUUUGUUAAGCUAGAUGUGAAAGCCCCGGGCUCAACCUGGGAUGGUCAUUUAGAACUGGCAGACUAGAGUCUUGGAGAGGGGAGUGGAAUUCCAGGUGUAGCGGUGAAAUGCGUAGAUAUCUGGAGGAACAUCAGUGGCGAAGGCGACUCCCUGGCCAAAGACUGACGCUCAUGUGCGAAAGUGUGGGUAGCGAACAGGAUUAGAUACCCUGGUAGUCCACACCGUAAACGCUGUCUACUAGCUGUGUGUGCCUUUAAGACGUGCGUAGCGAAGCUAACGCGCUAAGUAGACCGCCUGGGGAGUACGGCCGCAAGGUUAAAACUCAAAUG
rnacentral:rRNA from 1 species